rnacentral:rRNA from 1 species
AUACGGAGGAUGCAAGCGUUAUCCGGAUUUAUUGGGUUUAAAGGGUGCGUAGGCGGAUGAUUAAGCGUGAGGUGAAAUGCCACUGCUCAACAGUGGAACUGCCUCGCGAACUGGUUGUCUUGAAUGCUCCUGCCGUGGGAGGAAUGUGUGGUGUAGCGGUGAAAUGCAUAGAGAUCACACAGAACACCGAUUGCGAAGGCAUCUCACGAAGGGUUGAUUGACGCUGAGGCACGAAAGCGUGGGGAUCAAACAGGAUUAGAUACCCUGGUAGUCCACGCAGUAAACGAUGAUGGCUAACCGCUGGAUCCAUCGGUUCAGUGGCCAAGCGAAAGCGAUAAGCCAUCCACCUGGGGAGUACGACCGCAAGGUUGAAACUCAAAUGAAUUGACGGGG